rnacentral:rRNA from 1 species
AGUGAACGCUGGCGGUAGGCCCAACACAUGCAAGUCGAACGGCAGCACAGUAAGAGCUUGCUCUUACGGGUGGCGAGUGGCGGACGGGUGAGGAAUACAUCGGAAUCUACUUUUUCGUGGGGGAUAACGUAGGGAAACUUACGCUAAUACCGCAUACGACCUACGGGUGAAAGCAGGGGAUCUUCGGACCUUGCGCGAUUGAAUGAGCCGAUGUCGGAUUAGCUAGUUGGCGGGGUAAAGGCCCACCAAGGCGACGAUCCGUAGCUGGUCUGAGUGGAUGAUCACCCACACUGGAACUGCGACACGGUCCAGACUCCUAAGGGAGGGAGCAGUCGGGAAUAUUGGACAAUGCGCGCAAGCCUGAUCCAGCCAUACCGCGUGGGUGAAGAAGGCCUUCGGGUUGUAAAGCCCUUUUGUCGGGGAAGAAAAGCAGCAGGUUAAUACCCCGCUGUUCUGACGGUACCCAAAGAAUAAGCACCGGCUAACUUCGUG